GAGACCGUGGCUCAAUGGUAGAGCGUUCGACUUAAAUACCAAAUUUCACGGGUUCGAAUCCCAGGUGUUU
rfam:Schistocephalus solidus strain NST_G2 genome assembly, scaffold: SSLN_scaffold0017843